rnacentral:rRNA from 1 species
GGUUAAGCGACUAAGCGUACACGGUGGAUGCCCUGGCAGUCAGAGGCGAUGAAGGACGUGCUAAUCUGCGAUAAGCGUCGGUAAGGUGAUAUGAACCGUUAUAACCGGCGAUUUCCGAAUGGGGAAACCCAGUGUGAUUCGUCACACUAUCAUUAACUGAAUCCAUAGGUUAAUGAGGCGAACCGGGGGAACUGAAACAUCUAAGUACCCCGAGGAAAAGAAAUCAACCGAGAUUCCCCCAGUAGCGGCGAGCGAACGGGGAGCAGCCCAGAGCCUGAAUCAGUGUGUGUGUUAGUGGAAGCGUCUGGAAAGGCGCGCGAUACAGGGUGACAGCCCCGUACACAAAAAUGCACAUGCUGUGAGCUCGAUGAGUAGGGCGGGACACGUGGUAUCCUGUCUGAAUAUGGGGGGACCAUCCUCCAAGGCUAAAUACUCCUGACUGACCGAUAGUGAACCAGUACCGUGAGGGAAAGGCGAAAAGAACCCCGGCGAGGGGAGUGAAAAAGAACCUGAAACCGUGUACGUACAAGCAGUGGGAGCACGCUUAGGCGUGUGACUGCGUACCUUUUGUAUAAUGGGUCAGCGACUUAUAUUCUGUAGCAAGGUUAACCGAAUAGGGGAGCCGAAGGGAAACCGAGUCUUAACUGGGCGUUAAGUUGCAGGGUAUAGACCCGAAACCCGGUGAUCUAGCCAUGGGCAGGUUGAAGGUUGGGUAACACUAACUGGAGGACCGAACCGACUAAUGUUGAAAAAUUAGCGGAUGACUUGUGGCUGGGGGUGAAAGGCCAAUCAAACCGGGAGAUAGCUGGUUCUCCCCGAAAGCUAUUUAGGUAGCGCCUCGUGAAUUCAUCUCCGGGGGUAGAGCACUGUUUCGGCAAGGGGGUCAUCCCGACUUACCAACCCGAUGCAAACUACGAAUACCGGAGAAUGUUAUCACGGGAGACACACGGCGGGUGCUAACGUCCGUCGUGAAGAGGGAAACAACCCAGACCGCCAGCUAAGGUCCCAAAGUCAUGGUUAAGUGGGAAACGAUGUGGGAAGGCCCAGACAGCCAGGAUGUUGGCUUAGAAGCAGCCAUCAUUUAAAGAAAGCGUAAUAGCUCACUGGUCGAGUCGGCCUGCGCGGAAGAUGUAACGGGGCUAAACCAUGCACCGAAGCUGCGGCAGCGACGCUGAUGCGUUGUUGGGUAGGGGAGCGUUCUGUAAGCCUGCGAAGGUGUGCUGUGAGGCAUGCUGGAGGUAUCAGAAGUGCGAAUGCUGACAUAAGUAACGAUAAAGCGGGUGAAAAGCCCGCUCGCCGGAAGACCAAGGGUUCCUGUCCAACGUUAAUCGGGGCAGGGUGAGUCGACCCCUAAGGCGAGGCCGAAAGGCGUAGUCGAUGGGAAACAGGUUAAUAUUCCUGUACUUGGUGUUACUGCGAAGGGGGGACGGAGAAGGCUAUGUUGGCCGGGCGACGGUUGUCCCGGUUUAAGCGUGUAGGCUGGUUUUCCAGGCAAAUCCGGAAAAUCAAGGCUGAGGCGUGAUGACGAGGCACUACGGUGCUGAAGCAACAAAUGCCCUGCUUCCAGGAAAAGCCUCUAAGCAUCAGGUAACAUCAAAUCGUACCCCAAACCGACACAGGUGGUCAGGUAGAGAAUACCAAGGCGCUUGAGAGAACUCGGGUGAAGGAACUAGGCAAAAUGGUGCCGUAACUUCGGGAGAAGGCACGCUGAUAUGUAGGUGAAGUCCCUCGCGGAUGGAGCUGAAAUCAGUCGAAGAUACCAGCUGGCUGCAACUGUUUAUUAAAAACACAGCACUGUGCAAACACGAAAGUGGACGUAUACGGUGUGACGCCUGCCCGGUGCCGGAAGGUUAAUUGAUGGGGUUAGCGCAAGCGAAGCUCUUGAUCGAAGCCCCGGUAAACGGCGGCCGUAACUAUAACGGUCCUAAGGUAGCGAAAUUCCUUGUCGGGUAAGUUCCGACCUGCACGAAUGGCGUAAUGAUGGCCAGGCUGUCUCCACCCGAGACUCAGUGAAAUUGAACUCGCUGUGAAGAUGCAGUGUACCCGCGGCAAGACGGAAAGACCCCGUGAACCUUUACUAUAGCUUGACACUGAACAUUGAGCCUUGAUGUGUAGGAUAGGUGGGAGGCUUUGAAGUGUGGACGCCAGUCUGCAUGGAGCCGACCUUGAAAUACCACCCUUUAAUGUUUGAUGUUCUAACGUUGACCCGUAAUCCGGGUUGCGGACAGUGUCUGGUGGGUAGUUUGACUGGGGCGGUCUCCUCCUAAAGAGUAACGGAGGAGCACGAAGGUUGGCUAAUCCUGGUCGGACAUCAGGAGGUUAGUGCAAUGGCAUAAGCCAGCUUGACUGCGAGCGUGACGGCGCGAGCAGGUGCGAAAGCAGGUCAUAGUGAUCCGGUGGUUCUGAAUGGAAGGGCCAUCGCUCAACGGAUAAAAGGUACUCCGGGGAUAACAGGCUGAUACCGCCCAAGAGUUCAUAUCGACGGCGGUGUUUGGCACCUCGAUGUCGGCUCAUCACAUCCUGGGGCUGAAGUAGGUCCCAAGGGUAUGGCUGUUCGCCAUUUAAAGUGGUACGCGAGCUGGGUUUAGAACGUCGUGAGACAGUUCGGUCCCUAUCUGCCGUGGGCGCUGGAGAAUUGAGGGGGGCUGCUCCUAGUACGAGAGGACCGGAGUGGACGCAUCACUGGUGUUCGGGUUGUCAUGCCAAUGGCACUGCCCGGUAGCUAAAUGCGGAAGAGAUAAGUGCUGAAAGCAUCUAAGCACGAAACUUGCCCCGAGAUGAGUUCUCCCUGACUCCUUGAGAGUCCUGAAGGAACGUUGAAGACGACGACGUUGAUAGGCCGGGUGUGUAAGCGCAGCGAUGCGUUGAGCUAACCGGUACUAAUGAACCGUGAGGCUUAACCUU